GGGCCAGCUUUAGCUCGGUGGUUACUUUGACAAUGCUUUCUAUGGUGGAAAACAACCACUCCGUGUGGUUCGAGACCCGUGGGUGCUCUCCGGCCCUUCA
rnacentral:vault_RNA from 1 species